GGAGAUUGCUUGCAUUCCCCGAUGUUUAGUGGCGAAAGGGUGAGUAACACGUGGGUAAUUUGCCUUCUACCUGGGGAUAACCCCGCGAAAGUGGGGCUAAUACCGAAUGUGGUGCUUUCAAGGCAUCUUUUGAGCAUUAAAGGUGGGGAUCCUUCGGGACCUUCCGGUAGAUGAUGAGCCCGCGUCCUAUUAGCUUGUUGGUGGGGUAAAAGCCCACCAAGGCACUGAUGGGUAGCCGAUCUGAGAGGGUGACCGGCCACACUGGGACUGAGACACUGCCCAGGCUCCUACGGGAGGCUGCAGUCGAGAAUCAUUCGCAAUGGGCGAAAGCCUGACGAUGCGACGCCGCGUGAGCGAUGAAGGCCUUCGGGUUGUAAAGCUCUGUCAAGGGGGAAGAAAUACACAGGCGCUAAUAUCGCCUGUGCUUGACAUUACCCCUAAAGGAAGCCACGGCUAACUCCGUGCCAGCAGCCGCGGUAAUACGGAGGUGGCGAGCGUUGUUCGGAUUUACUGGGCGUAAAGGGCGUCUAGGCGGCUCUGAAAGUCGGAUGUGAAAGCCCUCGGCUCACCCGAGGAAGUGCAUUCGAAACUCUAGGGCUUGAGUAAGGCAGAGGAGAUCGGAAUUCUCGGUGUAGCGGUGGAAUGCGUAGAUAUCGAGAAGAACACCUGCGGCGAAAGCGGAUCUCUGGGCCUUUACUGACGCUGAAGCGCGAAAGCCAGGGUAGCGAACGGGAUUAGAUACCCCCGGUAGUCCUGGCCCU
rnacentral:rRNA from 1 species